UCAAUCAGAUGCUGCCAUACAUCAUAAAUCGCCUCUUACAGGUAGUGUGCCUAUGUGUACAUCGAAAUAUUAAUGAUCUAUGUGUACAUCGAAAUAUUAAUAUGUCUAUGUCAACAAUUAAAUAUUAGUGUGUCUUUGUGUACAGUCACUUCGUCUCUUGUCUGUUACUUGUUCGUUAGUGCACUUUAUGCUUAAUAUUUUUCUUUUUAACUUUUUAAUAUUUACAUUUUUUUAACUUUAUUCCCUUGUUUUAUACGAACCCAUAGCCUUAGCCUUAUUCUACUAACCCAUUGCAUUAGCAUUUCAUUCCACUUUAUUUUAUUACUUGUGCACUGUUGUCCUGUCUGUCUACUGUCGCGCACUAACCGCCAAGACAAAUUCCUUUUAUGUUUGAGAUAUUUUGGCUAAUAAAUGUUUCCUGAUUCCUGAAUCCUACAUCUAAAUAUUAGUUUGUCUCUGAGUAUGUGUGUGUGUGUGUGUUGUGCGCUUAUCUGAGUCAUGCGUAGAUCUGGCGCUGCUCCUGAGGGGGCGACUCUCAGCACAUCCUGAUGGCGUGGCAUCCUGAUGGCGUCCUGAUGGCGUGACGUCCUGAUGGCGUCCUGAUGGCGUGACGUCCUGAUGGCUUCCUGAUGACGUCCUGUUGGUCUGCAGAGACAAGGAGAAGAGACGUGAGGAGGAUCAUCAGGAUGUGAGACAACAUUCAUAGGUCCAAUUAUUUUAAUUUGAUACACUUUUGUUUAAUUAUUUCAUGUUUCUAUGUGUGUGUAAGUCUACAUUAUAUAUUUGUGGUUUUUAAGGUGUAUUUCUGUGUAUGCUUUUCAUGUUUUGUGCAUCUCUGGGCCUACCAACACUGUAAGUGUGUUAUAUGUUCUGUUCAGAGGGGUCAAAAGUAUUCACAUUUAUUACUCAAGUAGAAGUACAGAUACUAGGGUUUAAAAAGACUCCUGUAGAAGUUGAAGUAUCGACUCAAGCUUUUUACUUAAGUAAAAGUAGCGCCAUUUAUCUAGAUGGGUUUUUUUUGUGUUUUUGAACAUGGGACAAGCCGGAAGUAAUGAGGCUGUUUUUAAGAUUUAAGGAGUAGAAAGUACAGAUAUUUAAGUGGAAAUGUAAGGAGUAGAAGUAAAAAGCCGUCUGAAAAUAAAUACUCCAGUAAAGUAUAGAUAACCCAAAUUUCUACUUAAGUACAGUAACUUGACAACUCUGGUCUGUUAUUUGUGUGUGUGUCUCUGUGUAAAUACCUUUAUGUGUGUGUGUGUGUGUCUCUGUCUAAGUACUUUUAUAUGUGUGUGUGUCUCUGUGUAAGUACUUUUAUACGUUAGUGUCUCUGUGUAAGUACUUUUAUAUACGUGUGUCUCUGUCUAAGUACUUUUAUACGUUAGUGUCUCUGUGUAAGUACCUUUAUAUAUGUGUGUCUCUGUGUAAGUACUUUUAUAUACGUGUGUCUCUGUGUAAGUACUUUUAUAUGCGUGUGUCUCUGUAUAAGUACUUUUAUAUGUGAGUGUCUCUGUAUAAGUACUUUUAUAUGUGUGUGUCUCUGUGUAAGUACUUUUAUAUGUGAGUGCCUCUGUGUAAGUACUUUUAUACGUUAGUGUCUCUGUGUACAUGUACAUGAUAACAGCAGGAAUCAGAGGUUUAUCACAAGGUACUAACUCUACGUCACAGCUUCCCUUACCCGAUAGUACAAACACAUGAUUCACAGCAGUACGGCUGCAGUCUGUCUGGAUUUCUCACUUACCUCGAGCUCUGUUGAGUGCAGCAAAACGCGUCUUCAUCUCCUCUUCAGACUCCUGAGGCGUGACGAUCGCUUUCUGCAGUUUUCUGUCCGGAAAACUUCAGUGUGUGCAGAUGUGAGGUUUGAAACUAACUGACUAAAUGUGCCUCAGACUGUGUUUCUUAUACUGUGGGGAAUGGAGCAUAGAACACGGAACAUGGAGCACAGAACACGGAACAUGGAACAUAGAACACGGAACAUGGAGCAUGGAACAUGGAGCAUGGAAUUUGGAACACGGACAUGGAACAUGGAGAAAUCCUGAUGUCACCUGUCUAUGUUUACAGUGAAGGUAUCUAGAAUAUAGAAAUGGGCCUUUAAAGUAAACGUGUGUGUGGACGGUGUAUUUGUAUUGAUGGAGCUCAUCCACUUCACAUGGUGCAUAAAACACUUUGCUGUACCGUUUCUUUUUCUAUGACCCUUUCAUCUUGAUCUUGAAAGCAAAGGCUUUAAAGAAUCAAUAAAGAACGAUUUUUGAGUUUUGUCCCAAUGGAAACCAAAAAUUCGGCUCAGGCCGCCAAGGCCAGUCAAGUCGGAAAUGUUUAAACUCUUGAAUCCAAAUUUUUAAACAUCCCUUUCGAGCCCUCUUGUCUCGACGGUCCGAACGGUCCGGUCGACGGAGGGGUGCCCCAAAGUCGAUACCCCCCCCUGUCGGUACCCCCACGUUGUUAUUUUUACAACUUUAACUACAAACUAUGAACAAUAUAUGAACUGUUCAAAGUUCACAGAUUACAGCGUUUCCCCUCUGUAACAGCCGGAAGUGUAGUUAAUUGGAAUUUGGGGAAUAUUAUUCAUUCAAUUUUAGAUGCAUGCUCAUUGAAACUAAAGAUGUAACAUACAUUGAAAAGCAUUUACGUUAGAUUGAUGCUCCUUGUUCGUCUCAAAGUGUUGACGUGCAGCACAGAAGAGCUCCGGUACGGUAGUUACUCGAGAUACCUUUACUGGCAAGUAUGUCAACGUUAGCUUACAUUUCUGUAAUGUUGGUGUCCAGUUAGCAUGUCUAACGUUAGCAUACCGAAGAUUUUGGCGGAUGGGACUGCCGGUUAAAUGUUCUAACUCAAAGUGAUGUAACGUUAGCUGCUUAUUAGCAAUUUUGCGCAUGCUUACAUUAGCUACAAGGUUUCCCCGGUCUCAAUUUCUGGAUUACACCACAACCUCAAGGUAAUGUGGUUUAUGUUAACGUUAUGUAAAAUUGGGUUUUAGCUGCCUCAGAAAGUCCGCAUUUACUGGCGCCACCUGCACGUUUUCCUUUGUAAAUACCUGCCCUCUCGUACAGCGCGGAGGCACAUUAGCGCAACUACACUGAGCCGGGUGAGGCUACAUUAGCUUGUUACCAAGCUAAUUAUACGACUUGCACCCAGGUCUCUGUUAAGACUCACGUUACAUCAGCCGGUGUUUGCGUGUUUGACGCGGUAGUUCAUACAUUUGUCAGCAGUGCGGGGUCCUACUCUUGGACUAAAUUAGGUCGGGGGUGGAGGUAAUUGCUAAAAAAACAGAGACUGUACCAUGUGUGUUCCAAAACUGAAUAUAAAACCAACAUCUAUGAGAACUUCAAAAGCCAUAAAUGUAGAAAACACUCCGGUGCAGGGAAUAUCUUUAAUCUUAAGGGGAAUUUUUCUGUAUUUUGUCAUCUUUUAGUCAUACAUAUUUAUGAUUAUUUAGCUAUUGUCUUAAAUAAUUGAUGCCCUCGUAAACUUUUUUUCAUGAACAGAGGUAGUGGAUUUUAAUUUUGUGUUCAGAACAAAAUGAUGAAUUAGCCUAAUCAAUAAGUUAUCACAGUGGAGGACUUGUGCCAGUGAUAUGAUUGUCACAUAUCUGGUGCAUAACAGUGCGAAGUGAUGCCAAUUAUAUUUUGUCUUUGUCGUGUAAACAUGUGUAGGACUCAAGUGCAGAUGAUGCUCGGAGGGACCUGGAGCAAAUCACCAUGGCAAUAUUUGUUGUCUUUCGGAAAGAGGGGAAAGGACUGCAGGAGCCACCUGAAGACAUUAGCAUCGUCAUUGAGGGUGUGGAGGUGUUGCAUCAACUGUCAAAAGCUGUCCGUUUCAGCUUGUGCCCUGCUUCUGGGAUUGAUACUCAACCUCUCUUACCCAAAACCACUUCAUUUCACUUUUAAAGUGCUCCAGAAGAUAAUCAUGGAGCUUGAUCAGCAGAAGAUGUCCCCCAAGGUCCAUAAUCUGUAUGGCAGACUUCAAACACAAUAGUGUUUCGAUAUGGGGCAUUUCACUAUUCAGCCCCUUUGGAUGUUGGGCCUUUGUUAGCUCCAAGAUAAAAAUGUUAAGAUACAAUGUUGUUUUAUAUAUAUUAUCACUUGAUUGUAUACAAAUGCUUCUAUCAUACAUAUGAUUUUUGGGGAAAAAGUUCAAUUUCUGUCAGGUGUUCCCAAACAUUGUUACAUAUCAGAAGGCCAAAUGUGACUUGGCAUGGUUAUGCAUUUUGUGCAUAUUUAUGUUAAAAAAAACACUGGAAACAAAUACAAGCAAUACAUUUUGAAAGCCAUCAAAUUUGACUCUGUCAUUUUUCUUUUAGCCAACUUAAAAUUGGCCAAAAGUACAAUUUUACACCAAGGAUACUACAAAAAUUAGCUUUUAUGAAACCAUACUUUUAGGUUGUAAAGACGCAGUAUUUUACUUUUGGGUAAAGUAAAUAUUUGAGUUGGAAAAACUGUAAACUUUAGGUUGACUUGUUUUGAUUUUGAGUUAAAGUAAUGCAAAAUAUUGAUUUGAAACACAUCGAAUUAUUACAUCCAUCUGACUAAAAUCAAUUGUGUUAAUAGAACUUGUUAACUUCAUUUGGAAAAACCUAAUUCAUUCGUGUGUUACCAAUUCAAAUAGUUCAAUUAAGUUGGUUCAACUAUUUGCUUUUUUCAGUGUACCAAAAAACAUGGGCAUUAUAGUCUUUGGCACUGCGUUUAUUAGAGGCUGUUUAAGCCACAGAUUAUUGUACACAAGGUGGCUUCUGCAGGGGUCCUGUUUAGAGAGAACUGAAGAGGGGGAACACUUCACACCAGGCACGUGAACAGAUAGACCCCUCUAGUGGUGCUCAAGCACCUGCCCUUUUGCCCUGCAGUGCCCCUUCUGCUGGAGCACAAUUGUUUCUUCAUUCAUCAAUACUUUUUGUUUUGAUAUCCGACGGGGCAUUUAUUUGACUUCUGAGUUUCGCCCCGAACUGCUCCGCGGCGCUCACAACACAACAUAAGCGCCGCUGAAAACAUUACGUUGCAACUGGUCUGCCGUGUCCUAAAAAAUAAACAAAUGGAAAAAGUCACAAAAUCCUUGAUUUCAAAGCCUUUCGUCCAGCUGUCAUGUUUAAUGAAGAGAGACAGAGAUGCAGACAGACAGGCAGAGAAUUUAUUGACAGUUUUACAAAUUAGACAGAGGGGCGGUUAAUUGACCUCUUUCUCCAUGUGCCCUUUGCAAAGUUCCCCCGGCCCAUUCUCCACCUCUCGUAGGUUAAUUGAAACAGACGGAGCGAAAGGCUCUUUUCUGAUCUGCAUGUUUUCUUAGAGAGCUUUAUAAUUGUGGGAUAGUUAACCGAGUCUCCUGCAUUCAUCAAGCGGUUGUGGAGAGCGUGGAGUCAUCACACACCUGCCUUUUGAAGAGAAGAACAAUUCCAUAAACACUAAACAUCCAUCUCACCCUCUACAUUUUUAAAUUGAUGUUUAUGCACCAAUAAAACAUUUAAUGUAAAUGUUGGCAAAAGAUUGAUUACAGGGUGAGUAUUGAUCUUCUUGACACAUCAAAGCUGAAUAAAACGGAGCGUGUGGAAAAUAAUGCAAUAUUGGUAUAAAGGAACUACUGUUCCUAGGUGUUCUCUGUCUGCUCAUUAAAGUCGAUUCAGUAUUCGGUUUGAUGCUUCGGGAGGUUUCAUUCAUGGGUUUGCGAUCCGACGUGUUCAGCCUUCCGGAGUAGAUGAGUUUCUGUUUCACUCCUGAAGGUCGUUUGCAUUUCCGUCUUUGACGGCAGGCUGGUAAGGAAUAAAAAUGUCCAUUCAUAGUUUUAGCGACUCAAUUUUAAUUGCCAUCUCAAUCAAAUCCCAACACAAACCUGUGUCCAAAUAUAAUAUGUAUAUAUAUUAUAUUCAAUUUUUGUCUCAUCAGCAGAUUUAUUACUUUGCUGCCAUAAGCAGAAAAAUCCAGCCUUUUCUCUUUCAGAAGCCUCCAUAAAAUAUUACCAGAGUAAAAGUAGUGCCAUUAGAACGAUAUCAGAUGUGCGGUCACAUCUUGGCACAGCGGAUGAGGGAGCUGCUCUCUGCCGCACCUUUGUUCAUUACUGAAAACGGCGCCUCUUGGCUUCUGCAGCACGCCGAGCCGCCAGCUGAAUUCGUUUAUGCUCACUCAAGUGCUUUCACUCCAGCUUCUGAGAGCGAGCGUGGCCUUUUCUUGCUGCCCAGUGCUCCAGGUAUCACUCCAGUGUCCUCCGCAUGAAGACGGAUUCAAGGAUCAGCUCAGCAGUUCGUUAGCUCGGCUGCGUACGGGUUGGGAAGGGGGGGGGCGGACUGGAGACUGACGGAGCAACGGAUGCGGAAAUGUCCUCGGGCGAAGGAACUGAACCCCAAUUUGCGGCCUGGAGGCCUCUUGAGAAGGUAGAACCGGCGCGGUGUGAGUGCGCUCACCUUUGGGGGUCCUGUACCCCAAGUAAAGCUGAAACUCAAUGACUAUAAUAAAUGCAUUUUUGACAGAUAUCACAGCCUUUAUAUAAACAUGUAAUGCUUCUUGAAAUCACACUCCGUAAAUCAAAGGAGAAGAUUCAGAACAUAAUUCAUCAUUAAAAAAAGAUAUUGGUAUUGAUAAAAAAUAAUGUCAAUACUUUCAUAUGAUUAAUUAUUUGUCUUACAACAUAUUACAAGCAUCAUUUUAGGACUAGUUAUUUACUCUCAGUUCUGUCUCCCAAAGAGAUGAAUGUGUUCAGCCGAGCAAACGCACAAGUGAGCUUGAACACAACGUCCUCUGGUCUGUCGUGUUCACGACACGAUAACCACGAAGAAAACAAGUGUUUCCGCUGCCGCAGUGAGCAGGUUUCAGUUUUUCUCUUUGAAAAUCCGUCCGUGCUUUUCUGUGGAAGUUACCGAAUAGAUUGUCCUCAGCGUUAAAUACAAGCUGCAAAACAAACGUUUUUUUUAAUUAAAUAAUUUAUACUGAAAGAUAAUCAAAGAGUAAUGUCUCUAGCCGAGUGACCUUUCUACAAUUUGUUUGCACCAGAGGGAAAUUGGAUGAAAGCGAAACCUGUAAUCCUUACAAAAGGCAAGUCAUACCUCCAUAAGCUGUGUGUAGCCUAUAGUCAACAUCUACUUUCAUCCUUCUUAAGGAUUUGGCUCCAUUUCUCUUACUGGUAUCCAGAUUAGUGGAGACGGAAAGAGGAUUUUCAAUGUGUCCAAUUUGUACCCUUUUCGAAUGAAGAUAGAUCCUCCUUCAUAUCUAUCCAACCUGUAAAUCUAAUAAAAAAAAGUAUAACAGAUGUUCAUGUCCUUUCCUCACAUUUAAACAUAUUUUCAUUUGUAAUUUAAGACGGCUUUUGUACCGUUUUAGAUCGAAGACGGGAACGAAAACGCAUCCAACCAUCUGGCCGUCCUCCCGCACUGUGGUGUGUACGUACACCGUGACGCUGGGUGACACAACAUGAAGUCUCCUCAGUGUUAUUGUCACUGCUGUGAAGACCAUUUCUUUCCAGGAACAAGAGAGCACAGGUGGGCAGAUAAUAAUCCGCUAAUUAGUUUAUUAAUAACUGCUCGGGCAGCGAUGGCAGGAGACAAAAGCGUUGCAGGUUGCAGGUUCCAGGCCUCCGAUGUUUUUUGUGAAUCAGAUUUACAGAAAUGCUGUUAUGAAUUUCCAGCUGGGGUUUUGUAAACCGCAGAUCUCGAUGUGAAGUUUCCCUCGAUCUGGAUCCUCCACACGUGACGGAUUUCAUGAGGCAACAUUUUCACGCCUUAAUGUACAAACACAUUGAAGAUAAUCCUUCUAUUUGGCAGCUUGAGUAAGAUAGGGAAUCUUCACCUGACAGGGUCAUGUGGUUUUGACGGCGUGUGUGAAGGCAGAUGUAUAAAUGUUUAUGAUAAAACACUGACGCAGUGACACAAGCUGAACCCGUGAUCUAUGAGCAUUACAUUCUAAGUUAAGUUCAUUUUAAGCAGCAAAAAACACUGAAUUAAAACACCAUUGUCUUUCCCGUGACCCUUGACACUGUUUUUUUUAGCACUCCCAUUUUAUACCCAUUAACUUACACAAAUAGUUUGCUGGGGCUGAAACAUAAUCACAUUUAUAGCAGCGCUCACAUUUCACCAAACCAACUAGGCGCACAAUGCUGCAGCUUUAAAUCAACUUGUGUGCUAAAAGGACAUUUUCUUAUAAACUAACAUGACAGGAAUGAUUUUGGCCACAGCAGCUGUGCUGUCAGGAGGUGAAGACUGCUGGUCCACCUUCUCUCACUGUGAGCGUGAGGCGGAAAGGUUGUUGUUUGGCCCUGCAGACAUUUGUAACAAGGUACUACAAGUCUGGGACGUAAUUCCUGCCUAUUAGAAUCAAUAGUUGUGAGGCGUUAGUGUGAAUUAUCUUCAAAGUCCUCUAAAGCAGCCUCAUUAAACCAUAACAGGCGCUUGUCUCUGACAUCAGAUGGAAUCUGCUGAUCUUAAAGGAGGAUGUAAAACAUUUAUUACACUCUGGAGAAAAUCUGCUUGCUUUAAACUUUCCUUAGUGUCCCAAAUAUGCCUGUGCUCUCGGUUAGCAAUAUUACUGCCCCGUUGUAUGAUUGUGUAAUUACCUUUGAGUUAUUCUCUGCAAAUACGAUGAGAUGAUGGUUGUUGAUUAGCAGCUUCUGUCUCAAGUUGAUGCAAAUUGAGUAGGUUGCGUAUGAAAAACACUCUGCAAUUAACUGUAUGACAAAAAGCUCAUGGGUGCACUUCAUAUCAGCCGUGUCCGUCGAGCGUUUCUAUUUUUGGUUGUAGUUCAAGAAAAGUAGUGAAUGUAACGUCGUGUAACUUUGGGCCUCACACCCAAGCUGAGAACCACGUACUAUUCUGAGUAACUGUACAAAUGUUUAAAAUGAGCAGUAAAAUGCUGUUAACACUCGACUCAUAUUAUCAAUCUCAUGUCAAAUAAUAUAUUAUUUAUAAGGGCCGUCUCUCAUGCAGCAUGAUGGUCCCACUCAUGUACAUGUACUUGAGUGUGUACUUGCAGGAUUUGGAAUACAGGCGUUGCACUUGUUUAUUCACACCAAUGUACACUUAAAGGGUCUGAAUGUCGUCCUUCACUGCCAACAGCUUCCUCACCGUGACUCUUUGCACUGCCGUCCUAGCUUGAGUUUGUGUUCCACCUUUGCCUCCCUGAACUGAGGAAGAGGAACUCCAGCGGCAGGGAUUGAUUAAACAAGAGGCCUUCGCCCUCACAAGUUCUCUUCCAGUGAGUGCAAUUUUAAAAAAGGUUCCUGGGAAAGUUCAGAACGCCGCCGCAGCGAAACAGCUGCUCCGUCUCAAGCACACGAGUGUGCAUGUCACUGAAUUUUGUAUCGAAAGAUGCCAAGAAACUUCAUAGGUAGUUUAUAGAUAUGAGGCCAAGUCAGCUGAUUGCAAUAGAUGUUGAAUUGCCUUGUUGAAUUACCUCAUGUCAGCCUCUUCUUUAUCACACUCACAUCCUUUUGCUGAAAUGUAAGCACAAUUAAACAUUAAGCAUUUUAGUUAUGGACUUGCUUGUUAUUAUGCUUUUGAUUCAAGCAAAUGGAAAGCUUUACUAUAGAUAUCAGCACAAGUAAAUGAAAUGAUAUAAUAUUUUUACGCUAAAAUAAGCUAAGCUAACUGGCUGCUCAUUGGAGUUAUAUUGCUUCCCCACAUACGGUUUACCCACAGCAUCGUAAACCUUUAUUGACCACGGUUGAACAUUUUAGUUAUUUUUUUAAGCUGGGGAUGAUAUUUUGCUGCAUUCACGGAACUGAAGGCCCAAGUAGUGGUGCACCAAGGACCCCUUUAAUCUUAGUGAUGGAUCUGUUUUUUAUGCCUCUGUGCCGGCAACAGCUGUGGCCAGAGGGAAUUUAGUACAAAAAAUCCACCUGCACUCAAGGGUGAACUGAUGUAAUUUGGUUGUCGAAGGUCACUGUCACGUUUUUUGGACAUGACUCAAUAAUUCAUGUGCUAAAUAUGACAUUUUCACACAAAGAUUUCACAGGAUAAAGUGACAUUUCUGAAAUAGGUGGAUGUAAACAGAAGGUAACCGUAUACGCAGAAUGCAGUAGCUUCAACGUGAUUAGCUUUACAUCGGUGAUAUGUGUGAAUGUGUAAAACAGCGCGUCUGAUCUGACAUCACAUCUCAUUGCGCCACCGAGGAUUUUGACAAAGGACAAUUUUUGCUUUGAAUACUAAAUAUUAUACAAACAACCGACAGCAACGCUGGAUGUGAUAGAAACCAUCUGGUGACCGUGUUUUGUGAUAUAAGGGUAAAUAAAUGAUAUAUAAAAACGUUUGAGUUGCCAAAAUAAAAUGACAGGGUUCCUCUUGAAAACUGAGCCAGAGGUUCCAGCAGCUGGAUUAUAUGCAUUCCCUCAAACAGGGAAUAAUUGAAUUGUUUACAUCCGCCGGCUGUUAAUUACUCAUCUAUGAGAGUCUGUUGCUCUGAACCUCUAUAAUUAGAUUAAUAUUCUCCUCAGUGUGAACUGCUGUGAUUCAUUAAGGGUUAAACAACACAACAGACAAUUAGCUCAUGCCCCCUUUGGGAAACUUCAGGGUGUUGUUUUGCAGUGUGGCGUCAAUUCAUCAGGCUUUUGCCCCAGUAAAAAAAAAAGAGUUACAAUAACAGAAUUACCCAUUGCACAGGCCUCAGUGUGGAGAGAAGACAAACAGAACCAACACACUUGUUGAUUCUUGUUAUCGUGGAAUCAGUGGCAUCCACAGAGCAUUGAUUUUUGAAGGCUACUUUGUUCUGAACAUACUUCGAAAAACCAACACAGGAAAACUGAAAAUGGAAAAAGAAUCACCACAAAAACAGAAACUUUUCUGCACAUUUUACUGUGAGAACUUUCCUCGGGAAAGCAGAGCAGUAGCAGAGUAGCUCUCAUAUUUGUGUGUUGCCAUUUUACAUCUGUGCAUGUGCUAUUUUACAUCUGUGCAUUUGCCAUUUUACAUUCGUGCACGUGCCGUGCUGCAGGACGGGUCUUUCACAGGAGCUAUUUCCUGGUGCUGCAGCUCUACAUAUACGCACGCCGUUAGUGACAAAGUGAUGCAGGUUCUGUGGGAGGAAUCACUUUGGGCCGAUGUGUCUUGUCUCACUGCUUACUGUUAUUCAAUACUGUAAUAAAGUUGCCUUUUACAACAUGAGACACUGUUGCCACCAAGUGGUCUGAAAAAAAUACUGCCCCGACAUUUGUGCCCAGGAUUUGCGAGAGCUGCCUGUGGAAAACAGAAAUGUGUAGGAGAUGGAGAAAAGCCUGCCAGCUGAAAUGUCUCUUGUUGAAUAUAACUCACAUGGUCGUGUAGAGGCACGUUUUUCGAGAGCACGAUGAUUGAAUACAAGGACGGGCUGAAAUUAGAAAAGGGUUCUAAUCCCAGGCUGCAACGGUCACAAGGUCAGACGUUCCUCUGUGAGAAAUAAGUGAAAUCAGGCUUUGGAACAGUGGAAAACUAAACUAAUACUUAAAAAACUUUAAAAUGAUCACCGUCAGAACAUGCCAGUUAAAACCAAGAGACGUACUUCCCAGCCACCCAACGUCAAAGGGGAACAUUUAUACAUUUGAGAAGCUAAAAGAAACCCAGUGUGAUUAUCUAAAUAGAGGUUCUUCUCCUCCAGUCGAGCUCUAAAACGUCUGUCAUUCAUGCAGGAGACUCCUCGCGGAAGACUUUUGGCACGGAGCCCUGAGCCACCCGACGACCCCUCACUCAAGCGUUCCCAUGGCUUCUGAAGUAUGACGGACAGCUGAGGUCUGAAGGUCGCCGUCACCGUUGUCGACCCGCCGACCCUCCCUCCCUCCCUCCCUCGCCACCCCUC
ensembl:lncRNA